rnacentral:sRNA from 1 species
GCCCCUUCAAGAGCUAAGCCAAUGAGUGCCGGAGAUAAGCGCCGGGUGGGGCG